GACGAACGCUGGCGGCGUGCCUAAUACAUGCAAGUAGAACGCUGAAGGAGGAGCUUGCUUCUCUGGAUGAGUUGCGAACGGGUGAGUAACGCGUAGGUAACCUGCCUGGUAGCGGGGGAUAACUAUUGGAAACGAUAGCUAAUACCGCAUAAGAGUAGAUGUUGCAUGACAUUUGCUUAAAAGGUGCAAUUGCAUCACUACCAGAUGGACCUGCGUUGUAUUAGCUAGUUGGUGGGGUAACGGCUCACCAAGGCGACGAUACAUAGCCGACCUGAGAGGGUGAUCGGCCACACUGGGACUGAGACACGGCCCAGACUCCUACGGGAGGCAGCAGUAGGGAAUCUUCGGCAAUGGACGGAAGUCUGACCGAGCAACGCCGCGUGAGUGAAGAAGGUUUUCGGAUCGUAAAGCUCUGUUUUAAGAGAAGAACGAGUGUGAGAGUGGAAAGUUCACACUGUGACGGUAUCUUACCAGAAAGGGACGGCUAACUACGUG
rnacentral:rRNA from 1 species